rnacentral:lncRNA from 1 species
CUGGCUCAAUCAAAUAUCAUCCUUUCUUUUAUUGAAGAAGAAGAAGAAAAUAAAUCAUCGACAACACAUCAAAAUAUGUUUCAAUAAUUUCCCUUCUAUCUUAAGCAAAAAAAAUUGGGAGUUUGACCCCCACAUCAUCACACCAUAUUCACAGGCUCUGCUUCACUAUCUCUUUCUUCCACAAGUGGAGCUAACUCCCCUGCACCCUACCCUUCAUUCAUGAACACAUCAUCUCUUUUGCUCAACAUUGCAUGAAGUAUAACAAUAGGCAUAGUCGCAGAAAGAGUCACGAAUAGAUUAAUGAAAGCACAAGUAAAGAUCAAUUCGAUUGAUGUGAUCAUAAACAGCAAAAACGGCACAAUUCGCUUGUCAAUGAUCUUAUGAAGCGCAACAGAAUUGGGCAAAGCACGCAGUAAAAGAAAGUAUAAAAAGGUCACUUCUGUCAUGGCUACUAGAAGGAUCAAUGAAACCUUGCGCCGUGGGAUAAGGGUUAUGAAGAGAACAGUCCAUACAAAUAUUGCAUAGUAUAAACUGAAUUUCUCAAAGUUCUUGAUGAUUCUAACUGCUGCUGAUUCUGGGUAGAAGGGAUAUCAAAAGUGUAAGUAUUAUGCUCUAGGU